rnacentral:rRNA from 1 species
GACGAACGCUGGCGGCGUGCUUAACACAUGCAAGUCGAACGGAAAGGCCCUGCUUUUGUGGGGUGCUCGAGUGGCGAACGGGUGAGUAACACGUGAGUAGCCUGCCCUUGACUUUGGGAUAACUUCAGGAAACUGGGGCUAAUACCGGAUAGGAGCUCCUGCUGCAUGGUGGGAGUUGGAAAGUUUCGGCGGUUGGGGAUGGACUCGCGGCUUAUCAGCUUGUUGGUGGGGUAGUGGCUUACCAAGGCUUUGACGGGUAGCCGGCCUGAGAGGGUGACCGGCCACAUUGGGACUGAGAUACGGCCCAGCCUCCUACGGGAGGCAGCAGUGGGGAAUAUUGCCCAAUGGGCGGAAGCCUGAUGCAGCAACGCCGCGUGCGGGAUGACGGCCUUCGGGUUGUAAACCGCUUUCGCCUGUGACGAAGCGUGAGUGACGGUAAUGGGUAAAGAAGCACCGGCUAACUACGUG